rnacentral:rRNA from 2 species
UGAGGAAUAUUGGUCAAUGGGCGCAAGCCUGAACCAGCCAUGUCGCGUGCAGGACGACUGCCCUAUGGGUUGUAAACUGCUUUUGUAUGGGAAGAAACGACGGCACGAGUGCUGUUUUGCCGGUACCAUACGAAUAAGGAUCGGCUAACUCCGUGCCAGCAGCCGCGGUAAUACGGAGGAUCCGAGCGUUAUCCGGAUUUAUUGGGUUUAAAGGGUGCGUAGGCGGGAUAUUAAGUCAGUGGUGAAAGUUUGACGCUCAACGUUAAAAUUGCCAUUGAUACUGGUUUUCUUGAGUACAGUUGAGGUAGGCGGAAUGUGGUGUGUAGCGGUGAAAUGCAUAGAUAUACCACAGAACACCGAUUGCGAAGGCAGCUUACUAAGUUGUAACUGACGCUGAAGCACGAAAGCAUGGGGAUCAAACA